AAGUCAGUCAAACCAGUCAAGCGGACAAGAAAGAGGGACUCAGAUCACCUGGAAUUAUGGCAAUGUCUUGCAAGGAUACUUCUGAAAAUCGGGUGUCACGGGAAGCUGAACUUUGCAUCCCAGUUCUGAAACAUACAGCAACCUCAUGGAGACAGAUGCAUCACUCGGCAUUUUGGGGUGGUAGCAAGUUCAGUGACCUGCCAGAUUUCUUAGCAUUAACUUGAAAGAGAAGACACUUAUUUGAUUUGAUUUGAUUUCUACUAGUCAAGUGGGCACCUGGAUUAAGCAGACUCUCCCCCCAGGCACCCCAGAGGCCUCUGACAUCCCUUAUGUCCAGCCCAGACACGGCCUUUCUGUGGCCUCAGCGUAUCUGCCCAGUCCAAUCGGCUAUAGCCAGAAUAAAAAGGGAGGAAGAUCCAAGAGAGGGAAGGAGGCUUUCCCAGCUACUUUCCUGCUAACCAGGGCAGAGGCUGGUCUGCAUCCCCCUAUCCAGGUGGCCCCUGCAGUCAUGGCUUUUCUGCUUCUAGAAGCCAUCCCUGAGAACAUCAUUGCAGAACUCAAAAUACAUUGCAUCAUACAAAAUGAAGUGGAGAAUUAAGGUAAUUAUCCAAUUAUUAAAAACCAUUUCUUAUUCGUUAGCUAAA